rnacentral:rRNA from 1 species
AUUGAACGCUGGCGGCAUGCUUUACACAUGCAAGUCGAACGGUAACGCGGGGCAACCUGGCGACGAGUGGCGAACGGGUGAGUAAUGCAUCGGAACGUGCCCGGCAGUGGGGGAUAACUGCUCGAAAGAGCAGCUAAUACCGCAUACGACCUGAGGGUGAAAGGGGGGGAUCGCAAGACCCCUCGCUAUUGGAACGGCCGAUGUCGGAUUAGCUAGUUGGUGGGGUAAGGGCCCACCAAGGCGACGAUCCGUAGCUGGUCUGAGAGGACGACCAGCCACACUGGGACUGAGACACGGCCCAGACUCCUACGGGAGGCAGCAGUGGGGAAUUUUGGACAAUGGACGCAAGUCUGAUCCAGCCAUACCGCGUGCGGGAAGAAGGCCUUCGGGUUGUAAACCGCUUUUGUCAGAGAAGAAAUCUUCUGGGUUAAUACCUCGGGAGGAUGACGGUAUCUGAAGAAUAAGCACCGGCUAACUACGUGCCAGCCGCCGCCGUAACAC